rnacentral:rRNA from 1 species
AGUGAACGCUGGCGGUAGGCCUAACACAUGCCAGUCGAACGGCAGCACAGUAAGAGCUUGCUCUUACGGGUGGCGAGUGGCGGACGGGUGAGGAAUACAUCGGAAUCUACUUUUUCGUGGGGGAUAACGUAGGGAAACUUACGCUAAUACCGCAUACGACCUACGGGUGAAAGCAGGGGAUCUUCGGACCUUGCGCGAUUGAAUGAGCCGAUGUUGGAUUAGCUAGUUGGCGGGGUAAAGGCCCACCAAGGCGACGAUCCGUAGCGGGUCUGAGAGGAUGAUCAGCCACACGGGAACUGAGACACGGUCCAGACACCUGCGGGAGGCAGCAGUGGGGAAUAUUGGACGAUGGGCGAAAGCCUGAUCCAGCCAUACCGCGUGGGUGAAGAAGGAGUUCGGGUUGGAAAGCCCUGUUGUUGGGAAAGAAAAACAGCAGGUUAAUCCGCCGCUGUUCUGACGGUACCCAAAGAAUAAGCACCGGCUAACUCCGUG